rnacentral:rRNA from 1 species
UACGUAGGUGGCAAGCGUUGUCCGGAUUUACUGGGCGUAAAGAGCGCGCAGGCGGUCGGAUCAGUCGAAUGUGAAAGCCCCCGGCUCAACUGGGGAGGGUCAUUCGAUACUGUCCGACUCGAAGGCAGGAGAGGGAAGCGGAAUUCCCGGUGUAGUGGUGAAAUGCGUAGAGAUCGGGAGGAACACCAGUGGCGAAGGCGGCUCUCUGGCCAUCAACUGACGCUGAGACGCGAAAGCGUGGGGAGCAAACAGG